AUUGAACGCUGGCGGCAUGCCUAACACAUGCAAGUCGAACGGCAGCUCGGGGGCAACCCUGGCGGCGAGUGGCGGACGGGUGAGGAAUGCAUAGGAAUCUGCCCGGUUGUGGGGGAUAACGUAGGGAAACUUACGCUAAUACCGCAUACGACCUUCGGGUGAAAGUGGGGGACCUUCGGGCCUCACGCGAUCGGAUGAGCCUAUGCCCGAUUAGCUAGUUGGCGGGGUAAGAGCCCACCAAGGCGACGAUCGGUAGCUGGUCUGAGAGGAUGAUCCGCCACACUGGGAGUGAGAAACGGCCCAGACUCCUACGGGAGGAAGCAGUGGGGAAUCUUGGACAAUGGGGGAAAGCCUGAUCCAGCAAUGCCGCGUGUGUGAAGAAGGCCUUCGGGUUGUAAAGCACUUUUGUUCGGGAAGAAAUCCGUGUGGUUAAUACCCGAACGGGAUGACGGUACCGAAAGAAUAAGCACCGGCUAACUUCGUG
rnacentral:rRNA from 1 species